GUAACGGCUCACCAAGCCUAUAACCGGUGCGGGCCGUGGGAGCGGGAGCCCGGAGAUGGGCACUGAGACAAGGGCCCAGGCCCUACGGGGCGCAGCAGUCGCGCAAACUUUGCAAUACACGAAAGUGUGACAGGGCUAUCCCGAGUGCCGUCCGCUGAGGAUGGCUUUUACCCAGUCUAGAACGCUGGGGGAAUAAGGAGAGGGCAAGUCUGGUGUCAGCCGCCGCGGUAAUACCAGCUCUCCGAGUGGUGUGGAUGUUUAUUGGGUCUAAAGCAUCCGUAGCUGGCCAAGCCAGUCCCUUGUUAAACCCACCGAAUCAAUCGUUGGAUUGCGGGGGAUACUGCUCGGCUAGGGGACGAGAGAGGCAGACGGUAUUUUCGGGGUAGGGGUGAAAUCCUAUAAUCCCGGGAAGACCACCAGUGGCGAAGGCUGUCUGCUAGAACGCGCCCGACGGUGAGGGAUGAAAGCUGGGGGAGCGAACCGGAUUAGAUACCCGGGUAGUCCCAGCUGUAAACGAUGCAGGCUAGGUGUUUGGGCGGCCACGUGCCGCUCUAGUGCCGCAGGGAAGCUGUUAAGCCUGCCACCUGGGGAGUACGGUCGCAAGAUUGAAACUUAAAGGAAUUGGCGGGGGAGCACCACAAGGGGUGAAGCUUGCGGUUUAAUUGGAUUCAACGCC
rnacentral:rRNA from 1 species